GGACCUUCUCGGCCUUUGGCUAAGAUCAAGUGUAGUAUCUGUUCUAAUCAGUGUGAAAACUGGUUUCCCUGCUUUUGGCCGCAGCCAACGCCAC
rnacentral:snRNA from 1 species